UGGCUGGCAGCGACGGCAGAGCAGAGCGUGACAUGCCAGUGUUUUUCCUGAUGGGAUGUGUUUUCUUGGUCUUGGAUCCACGGAGUGAUGGCAGAAUGUUCCAUUUAUUCUAUGGAUCUUUCCUUCCCGUCUUAUUUCUGCCACCAUGGCAUGAUCCAGAGCAGGGCGGUGUAACUGGGUGAUUCAACAUCACGGUUAUAGUGAUCGGAAGAGACACGGAGGAUUUUGCAACAAGUGCAAGUAGGAAAACAGUCAUUACACCUUUCCCCUUCAUAAUCAACGCAGUUCUCUCUGGCAGUGUUCAAGCCUCAGCAGCAGUCAAUCGGAGUGUUUCUGGCUGAUUUGUUCUUCUGAUGAUGAUGGUUGGCAGCUCCCUUCUGGUUUCGUUUUACAGCGUAGAGUGUCAGUGAGUAGUGCUGGUUAUAUAGUGACUUGUAUUUCCAUUCACUUACAUCCACGGUUUUAUCCAACCGAGGUCGUUUUAUCCAGCCGGCGCGUUAUAUCCGACCGAGACCGUUAUCCAAACGAGGCUUUAUAUCCAACCAGGCCGUUUUUUCCAACCGAGGUUGUUUCUCAGUUUUUAUUUUUAUUAUUAUUAUUUUUUCCGAACAUGACUAGUAUGCAGUGUGAUACAAUAUUGAAAUGUGAAAUGAAAUACAUUUUUUUAUUAUAUUCUGGUUGGUUUGUUUCCGUUUUAUUCAACAAAGCACCACCUUGUACACAUACGCAUACAUAGAUACGGCUUCGGUCUGGAAUCGAAAUGAGUCAAACGACUUCAAGCUUUGACAACUUUGAAAUAGUAGCCAGGGGAGAAGUUCACUCUGGCACUGAGUUCGUGUAGUGGAGGCUCAGGGCGGCUCUGCUUCAUGUAGAGGAAGCCCCUGGAAAUUGACUACGCAUUAAACUUUUUUUUUUUUUUACAUUAUGUUAUCAUACUGUCAUACUCUGCCUCCCUAAAUGUCUAUUACCUCAAUGAACGAGGUGAUAUAAUAUUGAAAUGUGAAAUUAAAGACAUGACUAUA